GUCGAACGAUGAACCUCCUUCGGGAGGGGAUUAGUGGCGAACGGGUGAGUAACACGUGGGCAAUCUGCCCUGCACUCUGGGACAAGCCCUGGAAACGGGGUCUAAUACCGGAUACGAGUUUCACAGGCAUCUGUGAUUCUGGAAAGCUCCGGCGGUGCAGGAUGAGCCCGCGGCCUAUCAGCUUGUUGGUGAGGUAACGGCUCACCAAGGCGACGACGGGUAGCCGGCCUGAGAGGGCGACCGGCCACACUGGGACUGAGACACGGCCCAGACUCCUACGGGAGGCAGCAGUGGGGAAUAUUGCACAAUGGGCGCAAGCCUGAUGCAGCGACGCCGCGUGAGGGAUGACGGCCUUCGGGUUGUAAACCUCUUUCAGCAGGGAAGAAGCGAAAGUGACGGUACCUGCAGAAGAAGCGCCGGCUAACUACGUGCCAGCAGCCGCGGUAAUACGUAGGGCGCAAGCGUUGUCCGGAAUUAUUGGGCGUAAAGAGCUCGUAGGCGGCUUGUCGCGUCGGAUGUGAAAGCCCGGGGCUUAACCCCGGGUCUGCAUUCGAUACGGGCAGGCUAGAGUUCGGUAGGGGAGAUCGGAAUUCCUGGUGUAGCGGUGAAAUGCGCAGAUAUCAGGAGGAACACCGGUGGCGAAGGCGGAUCUCUGGGCCGAUACUGACGCUGAGGAGCGAAAGCGUGGGGAGCGAACAGGAUUAGAUACCCUGGUAGUCCACGCCGUAAACGGUGGGCACUAGGUGUGGGCAACAUUCCACGUUGUCCGUGCCGCAGCUAACGCAUUAAGUGCCCCGCCUGGGGAGUAC
rnacentral:rRNA from 1 species